AAUCAGCGAGACUCCGUGGGCGUAGGACCCUCCGAGCCAGGUGCGGGAUAUGAUCUCGUGGUGCACCGUUUUUUUAAGCCCGUCGGAAACGCGCAGUAUUCGGGUGGGAGUGACCCGAUUUUCCAGGUGCCGUCCGUCACCCGUUUCUUUGACUCAGACAGGGAACUCCCUGACCCCUUGCGCUUCCCAAGUGAGGCAAUGCCUCGCCCUGCUUGGGCUCGCGCAUGGUGCGCUCACCCACUGACCUGCACCCACUGUCUGGCACUCCCUAGUGAGAUGAACCCGGUACCUCAGAUGGAAAUGCUGAAAUCACCCGUCUUCUUCGUUGCUCACGCUGGGAGCUGUAGACAGGAGCUGUUCAUAUUCGGCCAUCUUGGCUCCUCCCCGCACCAAUAGGUGACGGAAGGUGAGGAGAGAGCACUGAGACCAAGCAAAUGGAGGCACUCAGGGAAUGAGAGGCUAAAGAUGAGAAGUGUGGCUCCGCGUCCAUCAUGGUCUUAGGUUCCCUUCCUCUGCCCAAGUCCCAUCACAAGUGCAGAAUCACUGCAGUUGGAUUAACUGGACCCAGCCACAGCUGAGUAUUAAAUGAAAUCAUAUGUGGCUUUGGUUCCUUGAGUACUAACGUGGCAACAUCAGCUGAUUUUUUUUCCCUGAAGAGUCUUCCCAUUGCUUCCUCCCAGCGCUGCAUCUGUGACGUGGUGUCCAGACUUCCUCCUGGACACGUGUCGAGAAUGCCU
rnacentral:lncRNA from 1 species